GACGUAGGAGGCGAGCGUUGUCCGGAUUCAUUGGGCGUAAAGAGCGCGCAGGCGGCUUGGUAAGUCGGAUGUGAAAUCCCGAGGCUCAACCUCGGGUCUGCAUCCGAUACUGCCCGGCUAGAGGUAGGUAGGGGAGAUCGGAAUUCCUGGUGUAGCGGUGAAAUGCGCAGAUAUCAGGAGGAACACCGAUGGCGAAGGCAGUUCUCUGGGCCGUAACUGACGCUGAGGAGCGAAAGCGUGGGGAGCGAACAGG
rnacentral:rRNA from 1 species